AUUAUGUGUAACACCCCUGAUUUUUUAUAUAUUAUUAUUGGGCUUCGUGUAGGUAUCCUCAAUUCGCGGAAAUUCGACAGUUGUCCGGAUCUGUGAAUUUCCGGCCAGACAGACCAGCUACCGGAAAAGUCUCCGAAUUGGAUCGAGGUUUUGGCUACCCCACCAUUGUCAGGCAUCCCGAGCGCGUUCCCGAAGUCGGAAUCGGCAAAGGUGAGCCGGGACAGCCUUCUUCCUCCGCCCAGCCGCCACAGUGAUUGUCGUCAAGUCUGCCACAGGAGGAUAUUUUUUUGAGGUUAACCUGCUUUCUCCCUCGCAGGUCGAUUACUACUGUUUGUAUAAACUUGUUAAAUCUUAGAAUUUCCGCAUGUGUUAGAAAUGUUUAUUUGAUUUGGGUCUGUAAACUAAAUUAUUAUUUUUGGACCUGUAAA